GUGAAUGAAUCUGGCUGGCUCCCUUUCUACGACGCACCCGAAUGCAGGUGCGGUUCUGCCGCCGUACGCUGCUUCCCAGGAGAACCGCGCACAAACCGCAGACGCGAGCUCGCGCACCGGCUGCCGCGCUGGGCACGCCCGGAUAUUUACACGCUGUGCGGGAGGCUUCCUCCCCGCCCUCUUUUGCUACUUUAAACUCCCCAGGAGGACCUGUUAGUGGCAGAAGCUGGAAGGGGGGCGCCCCCCCUCGGUUCCCCGGCCGUGACGCGGCUGCUGCCUUCCGCCCUUGGCUCCCACCCUGUUUGCGUGGCCGCAGGCUCAGCAGUGGACCAGCGUGGCUGGGCCCCUGGAGCCCCUGCCCGGGCCUAACCCCCCGCAUGCGCCUGUGAGACUGGCUUACCCCGGUGGGCGAGUCGCGGCGCAUUAGCGGAUUUCAUGGCAAGUUGCUUCUGUGACAAGCGAUCAGGGACUGGAUGGCCCCCUCCACGAAGCCUUUCUCGGCAGCCGGGCCCGGGGCAGAUGGGCCCGUCAGGCCGCUCCUGGGCCCGCGGAUUCCUGCAAGGUCUCGAGGUGAGGGGUGCGGCAAAGAAAGACCUCGGGCUCCGUGCCAAGCGGCCCCGUUCGGCGCCCAGGGUCUGAGCCAGACGCACAAACCCAAAUUCCCUCCAGCGCCUUCGGCUCCAUCUUUAAGUCCAGGCAAAGAUCAAUUCUCCCUCUCUCUUGCACACACACAUUUGCAGCCAUAAAUAAACAGCUCCCAGCUAAAUCAGGAACCGGAGAAGAGAAAGAGAGAAGAAAGAAGAGAAAAGGAUGAGAACCGUAGCACCGUUCUUGUUUCUCCCGGGCGCCGGAUGGCUCUUUUUGGUCAGGCCAGCCUCUCAUUUGGGGUUGCAACUUGCAUUUGAAUAGCUGCCUGGGCUUGUUAUGGACCCGGGAAAGCUCUGAAAGGGAAUCACUAUGCAAAUUGUCCCAGUUACAAUCGAAAGGUUCGAUCUCCAGGAGCUGCCUGACGGAAGUUGAUGUCAGCUAUCUGUGCAUUAGGGUUGCAUUACUGCCUUCGCCGGCCUCCUCACCACCCCCGCUCGCGCCUGCCAGGGAGCCUUUUUGUUUUUUUUCUUAUGUGUAUAUUUUCCCUCAGUGAUUAAAAAAAGGGAAGAAAAAAAGGGCUGAAGGUAGCGGCGUAGCUGGCUCAGGCCUGGGCGGCCCACGGGCGGAGGGGAGGAGGUGCGGCCCCUCGGGUGGGCGGGGGGUGGGGGGUGUCCAUUCUUUUGCAGCAGGUGUUGACGGUGCUUCUGAAAUCAGACAUUUAGAAACGGUUUCUAGCGCUUUGCAGGACUCGGCGACUGCGAGGGGUGGGGGCGGCGAUGUCCGCCUCCGCCCGCCUGCUUGAUCCUACAAUGCCGGCUGCAGAUCAAUACCCGCUCACUGUAAUCCCAGUAAUUGUAGGGCUCGCGGCUUUUAUUUUAAAGAAAUAGGACACUAGGGCGCGGGCGGGCGGCUGAAGCAGCGCGGCUGGGCCGCGGGGC
rnacentral:lncRNA from 1 species